CAUCUAACGAAAUCAAAGAAAUAUCUGAAGAUAUUGAAAACUUUAAUUGAUUGUUAGCGCUUGAGGUCCAGUACAAUGAGUUAACAUGUCUACCUAAUAAUGUGAUCAAACUGGAUAAACUAUCUAAAAUAUUUGCAAGUCUCUCCUAUAUGUUAGGAAGGUUUGAGUCUCUUCAUUAUCUUCUCUUUGAUGUCAUCCUCUUAAUUAAAUGAAUGAGACCUGACAUCCUCCGGAAAGGAACAGUAUUGGUCCCCUAGUAUCUCUUGUAUUGAAGAACCAGGAGACCACAUGUGACGGCCAACCUUUCCCUCGUCCCUCAAGAUCCCCUCGUCACCAUACAAGUUAUGGUAUACUGUUACUGUUCUUAUGGGGUACCCAAUGUAUGCUCCUUUUCAUCAAAGAGGAAGAAUUACUCUAACAACUAGAUCAGUAGCGUUGCUGAGGAAAAUGACUGUUGCUAUGACAACUGAACAUGUACAUCAUUGAAGAGAUACUC
rnacentral:lncRNA from 1 species